UACGGGGGGGGCAAGCGUUGUUCGGAAUUACUGGGCGUAAAGGGCGCGUAGGCGGCCUGCUAAGUCGGAUGUGAAAUCCCUCGGCUCAACCGAGGAACUGCAUCCGAUACUGGCGGGCUUGAAUCCGGGAGAGGGAUGUGGAAUUCCAGGUGUAGCGGUGAAAUGCGUAGAUAUCUGGAGGAAUACCGGUGGCGAAGGCGGCAUCCUGGACCGGCAUUGACGCUGAGGAGCGAAAGCCAGGGGAGCAAAGCGGG
rnacentral:rRNA from 1 species